UUUAGAGGUAAUAAGCACCACAAGACAGGACGGGCAAAGUGCACUGAGAUUUGAGAGGAGGGAACCACUAUUUCCCAUUAGGAUUGCCUAGAGAUGCUUUAUUGGAAGUGACAUAUUUGAGCCAGGCCAUGGAUUGGUGCAGUUUGAGACUAGGUCAGAUACCAUCUCUGAAGCCUCUUCUGGUGCCCUCGCUAUGAAAGGUGUAUUGAGAAUUAAUCCAAAGAAGUUUCAUGAAGCCUUCAUUCCUUCCCCGGAUGGUGAUCGAGACAUUUUUAUUGAUGGGGUUGUUGCUCGUAAUAGAGCCUUAAAUGGGGAUCUGGUGGUCGUGAAACUGCUUCCCGAGGAGCAGUGGAAGGUAGUUAAACCAGAGAGCAAUGACAAAGAAACAGAAGCUGCGUAUGAAUCAGAUAUCCCCGAGGAGCUCUGUGGACACCAUCUCCCACAACAGUCCCUGAAAAGCUAUAAUGACAGUCCUGAUGUCAUUGUAGAGGCUCAGUUUGAUGGCAGCGACUCAGAAGAUGGACAUGGCAUCACACAAAAUGUGCUGGUUGAUGGUGUUAAGAAACUCUCAGUUUGUGUUUCUGAAAAAGGAAGAGAGGAUGGUGAUGCACCGGUUACAAAAGAUGAGACCACCUGCAUUUCACAAGACACAAGAGCUUUACCGGAGAAAUCUCUGCAAAGAUCAGCAAAGGUCAUUGCCUACAGAUUUUCUCCACAUGUCCAAAUGGCUUUCACCUGAGCUACUUGUUGAAGAUCUCAUGUGAUUCAGUCAGGACUGUAUUUGGUCAUUUAAUCAGAAAAGUUAGAGCAGAGAAUCAUAAAAAGUGAAUUAAAAAAAAACUUU
rnacentral:sRNA from 1 species